rnacentral:rRNA from 1 species
CCGUUGCAAGGGACUCCGAAGAGCUGUGGCAAGGGGUGAAAAGCCAAUCUAACCUGGAGAUAGCUGGUCUUCUGCGAAACCCGUUUUAGCGGGUCGCCCAUUUAUUGAAAUUAAAUUCGUUACUAGACGGUACGGCACUGGAAGCCACGCAGCUUUUGCUGCAUAAUCGGGGGGCUGUCAUGGCUCUAUCGAUGGCUUCUAACCCCGGAAAUGUAUAGUAUACAAUGAUGGGCAAUCAGACGUAUCGUGAUAAGGCGAUUCGUCAAAAGGGCAACAGCCCAGAACAGGUGUGAAGGUCCCUAACAAGCUACUGAGUGAACACAAGGCAGUCCUCUCCAGUGUCUCUCCACAAAGUGGGCUUGGAAGCAGCCACCUUUUAGCGAUAGCGUAACAGCUCAGUGGUCUGAGCCUCCCUGUAAAAAGGGUAUAUUGCCUGGUGAGGGCGCCAAAAAUGUAACGGGUCUAUAGUAGUUGUCUCUCUGUUCCAGCUUUGGAUAUGGAGGGAGUGGCAGUUUCUUUACUGUCUCACCGAAACCCUGUCCUAGAUGUAAAAUUCUAGGGGUAGCAGAAUACCCAGCAAAUGGAAUGAAGCUUGCUCAUUGAGCCGGUGGACAUAGCUGGGCUAAGAAUGCUGACAUGAGUAGCCUAAAAGGAGGGUAAUUCCCUCUUCGCCGAAAGCAGAAGGGUUUCAUUUGUAAGGUCUAUACCUAGAUGAUUAAAGCAGCGGCCUCUAAGGUUCAGAGUAACAAAUUAGUUCCGAUGAGUAACUCUUCUAUAGGGCUGUAACCUUCCUUAUAAGUUUACCUUCAAGUAAUUAGAGGUAUACUUCAAAGAGUAAGGUUCGGGAAAGAGCCCUACAGAAUCAAUCUUAAAACUGUGCCCUAAACCGACACAGGUCUGCAAGUAGAGCAUACUAAGGCGUAGAGAUAAUCGUCUUGAAGGAACUCGGCAAAAUGACCCCGUAACUUCGGGAGAAGGGGUGCCACUAAUAAGUGGCGGCACUAAACAGGGGGGCGCGACUGUUUACUUAAAACACCGGACUCUGCUAACGCUAGCGUGAUGUAUAGAGU